rnacentral:rRNA from 1 species
UAAUUUUUUUUUUUUUUAUUUUUUGGUAUUGCAUACCAUCUAGGGAGUAUAACAUUUUUUAUGUAGAAUAGAAAAGGAAGGUAGAAGGUUUAGGAGUUUAUUUGUUUCGUAAAUAAAAUUAUUUUUCUUUGGUGUUGAUAUGUCGACUUUCUUGUUAUCUGUUUGUUGUUGUUUACUAGAAAAUUGUAGAAUUGAUUUUGGUUUUGUGGAAGUUAAGAUUUUGUAGUGUUCUUAUUUUGUGUUUUACAACGUUUUCUUUUUUUGAACUGUAAUUUUUUGUUUUUUUAUUAAUUUUUUAAUAAAUUUAUGGUUUUGGGUUUAGUAGUUUUUUUUAAGUUUUGUUAGUUUUUUGAAUUUGUUUAUGUGAACUUGUUUUUUGGUCAAAUGUUUUUUAAAGACUUAGGUCUUUUUUUGAGACUGGCCUCUGCUCUAUGUUUUUAUAAAUGGCAGUCUUAGCGUGAGGACAUUAAGGUAGCAAAAUAAUUUGUGCUUUUAAUGGGUUCUGGUAUGAAAGGGGUUAGUGGCUGAUUUUUUACUUUUAUAUAUUUAUGAAUUAGUUUUGUGUUUAAGAAAUAAUAGGUAGUAUUGUACAAAGAUAAGUCUUCGGAAAUUUUUUUAUUGAGAAUUUUUUUAUUUUCUUGGUAUGUUUUCUAGGGUAGAAUGUUUUGUAAUUUUUUUUUCUAUUGAUAGGUAACAAAAUUACUCCGGAGUUAACAGAAAAUCAUACUUAAUUUAGUUCUUAUAAUAGUGGUAAGUUUUACAUCGAUGUUGUAUUCCGGUUCUUAGGGGGAGGAGAAGAUCUUGGGUUUUAGACUGUUCUUCUUUUAAUAAACCGGACGUGAUAUUAGUUUAAUUCAUCGUGAGAUAGAAUUGUUUAUCUUGACAAUAUUUUAGGUUUUGAAGCUGAAAGUACGAAAGGAAAUUUGUUAAGGUUUGAGAACCUUUUGAAAAGGGGGGACUUUUU